GAUGAACGCUGGCGGCGUGCCUAAUACAUGCAAGUCGAGCGAAUGGAUUAAGAGCUUGCUCUUAUGAAGUUAGCGGCGGACGGGUGAGUAACACGUGGGUAACCUGCCCAUAAGACUGGGAUAACUCCGGGAAACCGGGGCUAAUACCGGAUAACAUUUUGAACCGCAUGGUUCGAAAUUGAAAGGCGGCUUCGGCUGUCACUUAUGGAUGGACCCGCGUCGCAUUAGCUAGUUGGUGAGGUAACGGCUCACCAAGGCAACGAUGCGUAGCCGACUUGAGAGGGUGAGCGGCCACACUGGGACUGAGACACGGCCCAGACUCCUACGGGAGGCAGCAGUAGGGAAUCUUCCGCAAAGGACGAAAGUCUGACGGAGCAACGCCGCGUGAGUGAUGAAGGCUUUCGGGUCGUAAAACUCUGUUGUUAGGGAAGAACAAGUGCUAGUUGAAUAAGCUGGCACCUUGACGGUACCUAACCAGAAAGCCACGGCUAACUACGUGCCAGCAGCCGCCGUAA
rnacentral:rRNA from 1 species